CCCAUUGGUUAUUAUUAUUUAUUUACAUUGAAUUUAUAUUCAAAAACGUAGAGUCAGCUUAUGAAAAUGAAUGAAAACAGUUGAAAUGACUAUGGAUCACGUAACAAGAAAAAAUAAUAAACUAAUAAUUUCCUCUUCCCCCAAUGAGUAGUAUUUACAAUAAAUAUCAGUGAUAACUAUAAAUUGCAUAUGCCGAAGCACCAAACAUAACUUCUACUAGCUCACGCCAUUUUAACAGCUUUAUUCCAAAUAGGGUUGAUAAUUAUUUACUCUGACAGGAUCAACAUAACUCAUUCCCAAUCAAUUUCAAAUAUGAACAUAUACGUCAUAGCCAAUUAACAAACAAUAAAACAUUGAAUAAAAACGUGGAGAAGGGAGAUUGGAAUUUCCAAAAUUCUUAUGAGGCUUUAAUUAAGUCCACUGGGUGCUCGGAAUUAUCAAAUCAUUUCUACAUUUCCAUUCUAAGGGAAAAAAUAAUUCACCUUCAAUGUUCAAAAGCACUAGGAUAAACCUUACUCUUCAUUAAUAAUACCAUUUAUAACUAGCCCUUGAUUGGGAAGAAAAUCAGACCAAUGUUCUAAAUCUCGUUUUAUUUCAAAUAUAUAAUUUGUGAUUUUUUCAA
rnacentral:lncRNA from 1 species